UUAAUUGAAACCAAAUAGAGGUCUAUCACUGUUAAUGAUAAAAUUGAGUUAUCUCCAAUUAAA
rnacentral:tRNA from 1 species